rnacentral:lncRNA from 1 species
UUGAAGUUUGUGUUCCACACGAUGUCUUUAAGGCAAAAUUCGCCGGUGCUCUAGAUUAUUGAGCGUCGUUUUCGAUGAUACAACAACACUUCUUUAAUCGGUGAUUGUAUUGCACUGACCAGAAUAGUGAACCACAGUGUUUUUGAUUUCUCUAUCAAAAACAAGAAGGAGAAAAGUUCUCUCAAAUUGUGAGUGCUUUCAAACUUUUUUGCUGUGUAUUUUAAAUAAAAGAGAGGAUUGUCUUAUAUAGGAGUGAGAUUAUUGUCAUUCAUUGCAGAAAAUUGAUAACCAGUCAUAAGGAUUAUGUAAUAACAACCAUUAGUUUCUUGUAACCCCCUAAUAGUGUAUUAAUACUAAAAGAUUCACACACACCUCUUUCAUAAUCGAUAUUUUUAACAAUCCGUCACAUGAAUGAUAUUAGCCGGAAUAUGCUCACUAGAUUUAGAGAGAUCAACGGAUACUGUGGGGGGUGAGUUUACAAUGUGAAAAUCGAAAGUAGAUACUAGCGAGUUUAUCCUACCCUUUUAGCUUUCUUAGGAGUGCUCCACAAAAUUGUCGUCCUCCUCGUAUAUCUGCACACUGACAACAGUGAGUACGGCCGCCGGAGCUGUUUUCGGGAAACAGCUCUAACAGACCCCCCGGUCAGUUAGAUGACCUAAUGCUCUGCCUCAGUUGCUAUGAAAGUUCCUUCAUCCCUCCUCCAAGAAGAAGAAGAAGAAGAAGGAGUAAUCGGAUUCCAAAAAAAAAAGCCCCUUACCUCUACAGUGGCUUCCGCUUAUGUAGUUUAACUUGGCGCGUGCUUCGACGCGCCAACGGAUCCCUCGAUUAUUGGGUUGUUUACCCACUCUUCAUCCUUGCAGAGGAGUUGGUUAUCCUUCCUGCUAUCAUGGAUCUCCUCGCCCGGAUUUGGGCUGAGCCUCGUGCCCGUGUCGUACAAGCAUC